rnacentral:rRNA from 1 species
AUUGAACGCUGGCGGCAUGCCUUACACAUGCAAGUCGAACGGUAACAGGUUAAGCUGACGAGUGGCGAACGGGUGAGUAAUGUAUCGGAACGUGCCCAGUCGUGGGGGAUAACUACUCGAAAGAGUGGCUAAUACCGCAUACGACCUGAGGGUGAAAGCGGGGGACCGUAAGGCCUCGCGCGAUUGGAGCGGCCGAUAUCAGAUUAGCUAGUUGGUGGGGUAAAAGCCCACCAAGGCGACGAUCUGUAGCUGGUCUGAGAGGACGACCAGCCACACUGGGACUGAGACACGGCCCAGACUCCUACGGGAGGCAGCAGUGGGGAAUUUUGGACAAUGGGCGCAAGUCUGAUCCAGCCAUGCCGCGUGCGGGAAGAAGACCUUCGGGUUGUAAACCGCUUUUGUCAGGGAAGAAACGAGUUUCUCUAAUACAGAGACUUAAUGACGGUACCUGAAGAAUAAGCACCGGCUAACUACGUGCCAGCAGCCGCCGUAACAC